CUGCAAGUCGUACGAGAAAUCCUGGGCAACUGGGAAAGUAAAGUGGCGCACGGGUGAGUAACGCGUGGGUAACUUACCCUUGGAUUCGGGAUAACUCCGCGAAAGCGGGGUUAAUACCGGAUGAUAUUCCGAUUCCUAAGGGGGUCGGAAUCAAAGGUGGCCUCUGCAUGCAAGCUAUCGUCUAAGGAUGGGCCCGCGUACCAUUAGCUAGUUGGUAGGGUAAUGGCCUACCAAGGCAACGAUGGUUAGCUGGUCUUAGAGGAUGGCCAGCCACACUGGAACUGAGAUACGGUCCAGACUCCUACGGGAGGCAGCAGUGGGGAAUCUUGCGCAAUGGGCGAAAGCCAGACGCAGCAACGCCGCGUGGGCGAUGAAGGUCUUCGGAUCGUAAAGCCCUUUUCUAGAGGAAGAGGAAGGACA
rnacentral:rRNA from 1 species